GACGAUAAUAAAUGAGUGUUCUAAAAGCCUCAAUAUUUUAUUUUUAUUUUCAAGGUCAAGACAAUUAAAUAACAUGUUUGGCAGUAAAAGAAAACCUGACCAUCGCAUCCACCAAUCCCGAGCUCCUCUGCUGCAUGUGUUUCCAGGACCCAUUUCCUCGUCUGUAUAUCAAAAGGUUCAAGGUCCUCCACCCUCUCUCCCCUAUGUGUAACUCGCUCCAGAUGAGCAACAAUGGUACAUUUGACUUAGUGCGCAAGACACAUGUAUACAGCUUUGUCUUGGGCUGCCUCAAACAGCUGGCGUAGUGCCUCCUCCGCGAAACGAGGGAAAGCUUCAUAUCACGCCUUUGUUUAAGCUAUCAAAUGAAGGCAGCGCCCGGCGGUGGAUUCGGUGUUAUAUUUACCUUCCAGGACUGUCGGAGACUGAUUAGAGGUUGGAGAACGUGUGACGCACCUGUUGACUGGGCUGCAGCCCCAGCUGUUGAAGUAGCAGACUGCUACCUGAUUGUGUAAUGAGCUGAAAAGGUGACGAACGUGACGGUAACAUGUUGAAGGUGUUCCAGGUGUGGAGGCAAAUUGGUUUCUGGGCAUGGAGGCAGAAGCAUAUAGCAUACAUUUGUCUGGGAAUGUUGAUCUGAAAACCAUAAGGGCAGAGGGUGGUCUCGUCAUAACUCAGCUCAUUACUCUGGGCGGGCUCAAUUAGAGUAAGGCAGUAGGCGAAGCUCUUUGUCCUGGACCGAUUCACAAAUCGAUCCGUCGAAACGGGCAUGAAUACAGACGGGAGAAGCGACUGCGCGCGUCAAGGAGGGGCGGAACGCCGCCUUUCCAUUGGCUGGCAGCACAGUGGCUCUGCUCAACCUGAGUUUAGUCAUUAACGCGACGGAGCACCCACAGGCUGCGAGGAAGACUUCAAAGGGUUCGGCUGCAUCACCAUCCAUACCGUUAAAUGUUACUCGUCCUUUUUUUUUUUUUUUUCAAAGGAAUUGAUUAUCUUUGAUCAAACAUCCUCAAACAAUCUUUUUGUGUGGUAAACGUGGAAUUGUUUAGUCGCCUUAACAGACAUUAUUCAUGUAAAUUCAUUCAUGGGGAAAAAACACUGCACCGCGACACCCUUCCUUUUAUUUUUUUCUUCUUCUUUUCCGACAUCUGCAUCGAAGGAGAUGGCAAAGAUUAUGGCGGGAUAACGCUGCACAAACAUGGCCGCCUCAAACUAGAUCAAAGCAAAGACAAUCAAAGCCAGAGUGAGAGCUAUGUAGCCUCAGUAAGCUCCUCUAAAUAUCUGCAGUCCCCCGAAGCCCAUCCAAACUGUGCGUUGCAUCACCCUACACCAACUGCUUCCAUGCCUGAUCUUUCUGGGAGAGGAGACAUAAGCCCCCCUUUUGCCAUGAACCUUAAAGGGCUAGUGGAGUCCUGACGCAUAGGGAGACUUAAAUCCUUCAAAGUGAUUGCAAACACAGUGGCUGACCCUGCUGUUGAUAUUUAACCUGGGGUGUCCCCUUGCAAAGCCCACAUAAAGCCAUAUAAGAUAUGACAUGACACUGGUCGUAAUCAUUUACGUCACCGCGGGAUCACGAUGAUGAACGACUCUCAGAUACAGGGGUCUACAGCUUGUUAACUUCCACACUAAACCACUGUGUUACUCUCUGCUCCUGUCUGUUUAGAGCCGGCUUGUUACGAUCAGUACUCCGGCCACUCAUGAUGUAAGCCCGUGCCAUCAAAUGCUUCAAUAAAGUACAUUAACUAGA
ensembl:lncRNA